rnacentral:rRNA from 1 species
GACGAACGCUGGCGGCGUGCUUAACACAUGCAAGUCGAACGGAAAGGCCCUGCUUUUGUGGGGUGCUCGAGUGGCGAACGGGUGAGUAACACGUGAGUAACCUGCCCUUGACUUUGGGAUAACUUCAGGAAACUGGGGGUAAUACCGGAUAGGAGCUCCUGCUGCAUGGUGGGGGUUGGAAAGUUUCGGCGGUUGGGGAUGGACUCGCGGCUUAUCAGCUUGUUGGUGGGGUAGUGGCUUACCAAGGCUUUGACGGGUAGCCGGCCUGAGAGGGUGACCGGCCACAUUGGGCCUGAGAUACGGCCCAGACUCCUACGGGAGGCAGCAGUGGGGAAUAUUGCACAAUGGGCCGAAGCCUUAUGCAGCAACGCCGCGUGCGGGAUGACGGCCUUCGGGUUGUAAACCGCUUUCGCCUGUGACGAAGCGUGAGUGACGGUAAUGGGUAAAGAAGCACCGGCUAACUACGUG